UACGGUGGGUGCGAGCGUUGUCCGGAAUCACUGGGCGUAAAGGGCGCGUAGGCGGCGCGGAAAGUCGUCGGUGAAAGCUCGGGGCUCAACCCUGAGUCUGCCGGUGAUACUCCCGCGCUCGAGCUCACUAGAGGCAGAUGGAAUUCCGGGUGUAGCGGUGGAAUGCGUAGAGAUCCGGAAGAACACCGGUGGCGAAGGCGGUCUGCUGGGGUGAGGCUGACGCUGAUGCGCGACAGCGUGGGGAGCAAACAGG
rnacentral:rRNA from 1 species